UACGAAGGGGGCGAGCGUUGUUCGGAUUUACUGGGCGUAAAGGGCGCGCAGGCGGCUAUUUUUGUCAGGCGUGAAAGCCCCGGGCUUAACCUGGGAACUGCGCUUGAGACGGGAUGGCUGGAGAUCGGGAGAGGAGAGUGGAAUUCCCAGUGUAGAGGUGAAAUUCGUAGAUAUUGGGAAGAACACCGGCGGCGAAGGCGGCUCUCUGGGCAAUUCCUGACGCUGAGGCGCGAAAGCGUGGGGAGCAAACGGG
rnacentral:rRNA from 1 species